UACGUAGGGGGCAAGCGUUGUCCGGAUUUAUUGGGCGUAAAGAGCUCGUAGGCGGUCUGUUGCGUCGGCUGUGAAAACCCGGGGCUCAACCCCGGGCCUGCAGCCGAUACGGGCAGACUAGAGUUCGGCAGGGGAGACUGGAAUUCCUGGUGUAGCGGUGAAAUGCGCAGAUAUCAGGAGGAACACCGGUGGCGAAGGCGGGUCUCUGGGCCGAUACUGACGCUGAGGAGCGAAAGCGUGGGGAGCGAACAGG
rnacentral:rRNA from 1 species